UACGUAGGGGGCAAGCGUUGUCCGGAAUCAUUGGGCGUAAAGAGCGUGUAGGCGGCCCGAUAAGUCCGCUGUGAAAGUCCAGGGCUCAACCCUGGAAUGCCGGUGGAUACUGUCGGGCUCGAAUCCGGAAGAGGUGAGUGGAAUUCCUGGUGUAGCGGUGAAAUGCGCAGAUAUCAGGAAGAACACCAAUGGCGAAAGCAGCUUUCUGGGACGGUACUGACGCUGAGAACGCGGAAAGCGUGGGGAGCGAACAGG
rnacentral:rRNA from 1 species